GACCCGAGUGUCUAGAAAAAGAUAAAUUAGCUGGGCGUGAUGGGCGCGAAUGUGGUCCAAGCUACUCCGGAGGCCGAGGCGGAAGGAUCGCUUCAGCGCAGGAGUUCUGGGCUGCAAUGAUCUAUGACCGCGCCACUGUACUCCAGCCUAGGCGACAGACCAGUGCCUUAUCUCAAAAAACUAAAGAAAAAGAAAAAAAGAAAAGUACUCGAUGAGCACCCCGUUCUCAAAAAACUAAAAAAGAAAAAAAAGAAAAGAAAAGCACUCGAUGAGCAUCCCGCUGCCUGCAGUCCAAGCCUUGGGUGACGCCUCCACGCAAGCCCCGCUCCCUGCACCGGUCCCCGCCUCCGACCCGGCCUUAGGCUCUGGGUUUCCUGGCCAGCGUCGUUCCCAAUAUCGACAGAUUGAUCUGGAUCCUGGUCCACCCCGGAUGCGAGAAAACGGGACUUUUCUGUCCGCGUGUCGAAGAGGCUGCCCCAGCUCUUCUCUGCGCUUCACAUCAUCCAAAGCCGUUGGGGUUCGGCCCCCUUAAGCUUAAAUCGGUGCGCAACCGGAAGCGGAAGUGCGAGACGGUGCGCCGCCGUACGUAUUCUGCGCUCUCCAGCCGCUUCCUAGCUGGGUUUUCACUUCAGCCGGCGCUCAUGGUCAACCUAGGCAGGGCCGGGCAGGAGGGCCUAGCAGGAGGCGGAGUGAGGGUCGGAGAGCGCCACCAGGUCUGAGACGCGCCGGCCUAACGCGGCUGCUCGGGGGAAGCGGCGCCUCCUCCCAACCAGGACUAGGAGGCGGGGAUUCUCCCCGCAGCCUGCUCGGAGCGCCUCUUCCCGCUGCGCCCGCACCAGUCUGGUCGUGGCCCAGGGUCCACGGUGGAGGCGUGUUUUUUCCUCCAGCCACCGCGCCCCCUCUGUUUAAAAUCAGCCAGUCAACCUUUUUGUCCUUUCUCCAGAGGGAAAGCAUCUCCGCUGUUCUGGAAAAGGGCCCCAGUGUCCUCUUGUCACCGACCGGGCGAUUGCCGUGCGUUCCGGUCAUUUUUUUCCAGGACACUUUCUGUCUUCAUCAGAGGAACAUCGAGGAAGCAAGGCUGGUGGCUAGAUUACUGAUGGAUUCUUCUCAGCACUUAGUGACCUUUGAGGAUGUGGCUGUGGACUUUACCCAGGAGGAGUGGACUUUGUUGGAUCAAACCCAGAGAGAUCUCUACAGAGAUGUGAUGUUGGAGAACUACAAGAAUCUCAUUAUACUAGCAGGGUCUGAAUUAUGCAAACCCAGUCUUACGUCUGGAUUGGAACAAAUGGAAGAGCUGAGGACAGGAGUGACAGGAGUCCUGCAGGAAUUGGAUUUGCGACUCAAAACCAAAGGCUCCCCACUGCUGCAAGAUAUUUCUGCAGAAAGAUCACCAAAUGGAAUACAAUUGGAGAGAAGCAAUACUGCAGAGAAACUCUAUGACUCUAACCAUUGUGGAAAAGUCUUCAGUGAACACCCAUUUCUUAUGACUCACAUGAGAACUCACAUUGGAGAGAAAACUUCUGAGGAUGAUCAGAGUGGAAAAACCUUAAGAAAGAACUUUCCUCAUAGUUUUUACAAGAAAAGUCAUGCUGAGGGGAAAACACCUAAGUAUGUUAAACAUGAAAAAGCCUUCAACAAGUUUUCAAAUCUUACUAGGCAGAAUAAAACUCACACACAAGAGAAGUUGUGUGAAUGCACAGAUUGUUGGAGAACUUUUCUUUAUCAGUCAUCCCUUAAGGUACAUGUAAGAUCUCACAAUGGAGACAAACAUUAUAUAUGUAAGGAAUGUGGGAAAGCCUUCAGUAAUUCCUCACACCUUAUAGGACAUGGAAGAACUCACAGUGGAGAGAAGCCCUAUGUCUGUAAAGAAUGUGGUAAAGCUUUCAUUCAAUCCACAGGACUUAAAUUACACAUCAGAACUCACACUGGAGAAAAACCAUAUAAAUGUAAAGAGUGUGGGAAAGCCUUCACCCAUUCUUCAUACCUUACUGAUCAUACAAGAAUUCACAGUGGAAAGAAGCCCUAUGUAUGUAUGGAAUGUGGAAAAGCCUUCACUAGAUCCACAGGACUCAUUUUACACAUACGAAUUCACACUGGAGAAAAGCCAUAUGAAUGUAAAGAGUGUGGAAAAGUUUUUAUUCAUUCCUCAUACCUUACAAAACAUGUAAGGAUUCACAGUGGAGAGAAGCCAUAUUUAUGUAAGGAAUGUGGGAAAGCUUUUACUCGUUCCUCAGGACUUGUUUUACAUAUGAGAACACACACUGGAGAAAAGCCCUAUGAAUGUAAAGAAUGUGGGAAAGCCUUUAAUAAUUCCUCAAUGCUUAGUCAACAUGUAAGGAUUCACACUGGAGAGAAGCCUUAUGAAUGCAAAGAAUGUGGAAAAGCUUUCAUUCAAUCCUCGGGCCUUAGUACCCAUUUAAGAACUCACACUGGAGAAAAGGGCUAUGAAUGUAAGGAAUGCGGUAAAGCAUUUGCUCGUUCCACAAAUCUUAAUAUGCACAUGCGAAUGCACACAGGAGAAAAGCCUUACACAUGUAAAGAAUGUGGGAAAGCCUUCAGGUACUCCACAUGCCUUAACGUUCAUAUGCGAACUCAUACUGGAGCAAAACCAUAUGAAUGUAAGAAAUGUGGGAAAAACUUCACUCAGUCUUCAGCACUUGCUAAACAUCUAAGAACCAAGGCAUGUGAAAAAACCUAAAGUGUUCCUCAGAUCUUAGUAUUUACAUCUAAACUCAUCUGGAAACAAAUCAUAUGAAGGCACUGGGGAACAACCAUUUCUAACAACCUGGUUCUACCUGGCUGAAACUGGAUCCCGGAAGCUGCGCCCCUCCCGAGGCUCCUAGCGGAAGUGAUGUCAGCGCGCUGCCACCAUCUUUUCCCGCGCUGGCUAACUUUGGUCAGUGUUGUUUCGCGUUUAUCCUGGUGGAGUCCACCCCUGCUGUGGUGUUUUUCCAGGGAACCAAUCUGCCCUUUUGAAGAAAAGACAAAGGUAGGAACGAUGGUGGAGGACUACCUGGCAAAUUCUUAUCAGUGCUGUUCAAGGCAUAUGCCUGUAGGAGGUCCACCUUGAUUGUUUAGACACAAGAGUUCCUGAGACAUUAAACCCUGGAGUAUAUCUUGGGAGAUCUCAGAACCACAUAUAAGAUUCAGUGACGUUUGAUGAUGUGGCUGUGGAGUUCACCCCGGAGGAGUGGGCUUUACUGGACACAACUGAGAAAUACCUCUACAGAGAUGUGAUGCUGGAGAACUACAUGAACCUGGCCUCUGUAGAAUGGAAAAUACAACCUAGAAUCAAAGGGUCAUCACUUCAGCAGGGUUUUUUGAAGAAUCCAAUAUUCAGUGGGAUACAAAUGCAGACAAGAAACUACAGUGGAUGGAAACUGUGAGAAUUCUGGAGAGGUCUUCAGUGAACAGUUUUGCCUUAAGACACACAUGAGAGCUCAGAGUGGAGGGAACACUUCUGAGGGUAAUUGUUAUGAAAAAGACGUCUUCAGUGUGCACAAGGAAGCCUCUAUUGGACAGGAACUUUCCAAAUUUAAUCUGUGUGGAAAAGUCUUCACCCUAACUCCAGGUCUUGCUGUAUAUCUUGGAAUUCUCAAUGCAAGACAACCAUACAAAUGUAAGGAAUGUAAAAAAGGCUUUAAGUAUUUUGUGAGCCUUGAUAAUCACAUGAGAAUCCACAUUGGAGAGAAACUGCGAAUUUCAGGAAUGUGGAGAGUCAUCACACCUUCCUCACACCUAAAGCAGUUUGUAACAGUUCAUACUGGAAAGAAAUCUAAAAAGACUAAGAAUUGUGGGAAACCCUUCACUAAUUUUUCUCAACUUUCUGCACAUGUGAAAACUCAUAAAGGAGAGAAGCCCUUUGAAUGAAAAGAAUGUGGAAGAUCGUUUAGAAAUUCCUCAUCCUUUAAUGUUCACAUUCAGAUUCACACUGGAAUAAAACCACACAAAUGUAUGGAAUGUGGGAAAGCCUUCACUAGAUCAACUCACCUUACUCAGCAUAUAAGAACUCACACUGGAAUAAAACCCUAUGAAUGUACAGAAUGUGGCCAAGCCUUUACUCAGUACACGGGCCUUGCUAUACACAUACAAAAUCACACUGGGGAGAAACCCUAUCAGUGUAAGGAAUGUGGGAAAGCCUUCAAUAGAUCUUCAACGCUUACUCAACAUAGAAGAAUUCACACAGGAGAGAAGCCUUAUGAAUGUGUUGAAUGUGGGAAGACCUUCGUUACUUCUUCUGAUCGUAGUAAACAUUUGAAAACUCA